GAGAGUGCAUGUCCAUCAAGGUCACGCUUGAGACUAGCAGAGGCGAAACCAGCGGGAAGACGACUUCGCCACCAAGGGCGGGCGGGCCUGCUGGGAUACUCCGGGUGAGUGGGACGCACUGGGCGGGGUUUCGCCGUUCCGAGGAUGUCGGGGAAGGGGGGUCACUGCCAGAUGGAGGUUCCGGUUCCGGUGCAGUGUCUGGCUGGUUGCGUUGCUACGGCAGCGCGGUUGAGCGCUCUCGUCUGUGUGAUCGGGGCUUCGCUGACUUUCCGGCCUACUUAAGCCCCUGGGCCUGGGCCCAGGAAGGGUUUGUUGAACCGGGAGCUAAGAAGGGAAUUGGCUCGUUCGACAGACGUUUUCUGCGCAGCUGUGGCGUGCAAGGCACGGGGCCGGUGCGGGACCUCCAGAGAGACCUGUGCCCAAAGCUUGAGAAAUGAGAAGCAGAUUCCUGGAUUCCAGGUAAAUCAGAGGAACAAACCUGAACAGAAAUAUACAGGAAGUGAUGUGAUGCUGAAGCUUAACGCUUAUUUCAGAAGUCUGGUAUCUGGUGCUCUUAACAGCAGAAACUAUAUUAUUUGCAAAAUCACCACGCUUUUACUUGUAUUAUAUAGUAAUUUUUUAAAAAAUAAAUAUUGACAAUUUGUUCUUGAAA
rnacentral:lncRNA from 1 species